ACGCGCGCGGGGCGGGCCUGGCGCCCCUGGCCUCGUAGCCAUUUUAGGAGGAAACCCGGAUCUCCAGCCCGGGGCGCGGCUUCAAUUUCAAUAACUUUAUUGGUGGACGUAACCGCAGAACAGCCAUCUCGCGAGUGGCUAGGGGAGGAGGAAGAGCAUCGCGGGAGGUGGCCCCCGACUCGAGCUACAGCCAUGGGAAACACCACCAGCGACCGGGUGGCUGGCGAGCGCCACGGCGCCAAGGCUUCUCGCGCCGAGGGCGCCGGCGGCCACGCGCCGGGCAAGGAGCACAAGAUCAUGGUGGGGAGUACGGACGACCCCAGCGUCUUCAGCCUGCCGGACCCCAAGCUCCCUGGGGACAAAGAGUUUGUAUCAUGGCAACAGGAUUUGGAGGACUCCGUAAAGCCCACACAGCAGGCUCGGCCCACUGUUAUCCGAUGGUCUGAAGGAGGCAAAGAGGUCUUCAUCUCUGGGUCCUUCAACAAUUGGAGCACCAAGAUUCCACUGAUUAAGAGCCAUAAUGACUUUGUUGCCAUCUUAGACCUCCCUGAGGGAGAGCACCAGUACAAGUUUUUCGUGGAUGGACAGUGGGUUCAUGAUCCGUCAGAGCCUGUGGUUACCAGUCAGCUUGGCACAAUUAACAAUUUGAUCCAUGUCAAGAAAUCUGACUUUGAGGUGUUUGAUGCUUUAAAACUAGAUUCAAUGGAAAGCUCGGAGACAUCUUGUCGAGACCUUUCCAGCUCUCCCCCAGGGCCUUAUGGUCAAGAAAUGUAUGUAUUUCGAUCCGAGGAGAGAUUCAAAUCCCCACCCAUCCUACCUCCUCACCUUCUUCAAGUUAUUCUUAACAAGGACACUAAUAUUUCUUGUGACCCAGCCUUGCUUCCUGAGCCCAAUCAUGUUAUGCUGAACCAUCUCUAUGCAUUGUCCAUUAAGAUAAAAGAAAAUAAGGCUCAGAGAAGGUCAUAAUGCCAGUAAGUACCAGAGAGAGGACGGAGGUCCUCCUGUCCUCAUUCCAUGUUCUUUCCUAGAGAUCACUGCUUCAGGUCUUUCCAAGACAGUGUGAUGGUCCUUAGUGCAACCCAUCGCUACAAGAAGAAGUAUGUCACUACUCUGCUGUACAAGCCUAUCUGAAGGGAUCCCUUCCUGGCUCCCAGGAUUUAAGAGAAGCACCUCCCUUGCCUUUCUGGACUGGAUCAGUCUUACUUAAGACUGGAAGGCUAAUUUGCUUUGAGGCUGAUAUGUGUGUUUCAGAGCCUUUGAGUAGGAUGCUCUGCUUUUGCAUUUGAUUGCAGACGAGAGCUUUAUGAGUUCAUGGAAUUUAUUUUUAAGAAAAAAAAUUAUAUAUAUAUAUAUAUAGACAUAUAUAUAUACAUCUAUGAGAGGAAAGUUAAUGGAAGCCUCCUAGCUAGAUGUGUUCUCUCUGCCUAUGGGGCCUCGCCAAGACCAGUUUGGGGGAGCUGCAGGAAGAACCAUUAAAGGAAGCUUUUUUCCUAGAAUGAAUGAAGAGCCAACUCUCAGGAUCCUUGUUGGGUAGAGAUUCUACUGCUACCUUAGCUUUCCAAGGGAUGGGCUCGUGCCAGACAUCUGCCCUCCUUUCAGGGGCAGCUUUUCUUGCAUGGGUUCUCUGUAUUCCUAGAGUAUGUGGCACAACCUGUGCUUUUUAUACCAGAUGCCCCGCAGGAACCCUUUUUCUUUUCAUUUCACUUCACUUGUUGCUUUGAUAACCUUCAGAUCAUUAUCCCUUUCCUAACACAAAACUCACUGGCAAGUGACCCCUUCUUCCAAAGCUAUGUGAGACGUGACCUACAGCACAGACUAGGGCUGACAGAAAGUCUCCUUUUCUGCCCAGCAUAGGCCUGGGCCACUUUGUUACCACUUGUUUUAAUUCCUAAUAAGGAAAAUAUGUCUCAGCAUUAUAGGAAAGGCAGAGUGCAGAAGGUUGACUUCCUUGUUUUAGCUUAGUGCCAUCAUGGCUCAGGCUGUCCCAGCGCAUUCCCAUAGGUUUUCCCACCAGGCCUGGCCCUGCUUCCAUAUUUUCUUUCACAGAUAGCAUUGAAGGUAGGAGUGAUACCAAGGAAAACUUUAAUGUCUUUCAUCCUUGGGAGAUUUUUAUGUGCCUACAUUUUUCUUUAAUUAAAAAAUGCCUUUUCAUUGUUCUUAAGAGACCGAAUAGGAAAAUUUUAGGCUCUUGAUAAAUGGUUCCCAAGAUUUUCUUCAACAAGAAAGUAGUAAGUAGUCAAGCCUUCUGCAAUCUGACAUUAAUGUGGCCAACCCUGUGCAUGUCACUAUGCUGAACACUGUUCUAGAUACAAAUUCAGGCUCAUUUGGUGCCCCUAAAAAGAUCCUUCAACUUAGAGACUCAAUAGGCCAAGAAGCAAGAAAAUCCCCCCAGGAUUCCUAACCAUGAACAUUAUUGCUUCCCUGCACCAAGUACAAACGGGAUCGUUUUUUUUCUUUUUUAAAAGUGUUUGAUGAAGAAGUGGGGUCAAUGAUUUUCAUUUGUGGAAUGAAAAGUAGCUAUCCAGUCCAGUCUUGGGGUUCAGAGAUAAAACUUUUUCCCAAGUAUCUGUGGCUCUUCUAUUACAGAUAAAUGCAAAUCAAAACACUUAACACUGAAGGAGGCCAAACUUGAUGCUCGAUAGAUACCUGGACUGUUAGGAUGUGUCCAGCCACACCAAAAGGGCGCCCAUAGGUCAGUUUAGCUACCUCCUGUCUUUCCUAUUCAAAGCUGAUUAUACAGUUGUCUUUGGGUGUGUAGACCUUAGAUGCUGGGAUGGAGGCAGUAGGGCACUGGGGUGGUUUUGCUGGGAAUGUAAAUUGCUGAGUGCUUUGAGGGUUACCUGAUGAGAGUAGGUACUGCUUUAGCCACUCAAGGACCCUUCUGCAGUAAAAAGCUCUUGUGGGAAACCUUUUAGGGUCCCAAGCACUUUUUGAGUGGUGUGUUAAAAAUCCAGGCCGAAUCCUAAUGUACUCUCAGGAUCUACAUUGUCUUUAGUUAUACUAUUGUUUUUUCCAAUACCCAUUAAAUAAGUGGGCUACUUAGGAGAAUUCAAAUUCUUGUUACAUGGAGGAUUUUGUUACACUACUAUUUCUUGUCAACAGUAUUGAAGUAUAAUUGCCUAUGUGUUCUGUAUUAAAAUUUUUACACAGAUGUAUCAGUAGAGUGGGACAGGAAAAGUUUCUCAGGCAAGAGGCUUCUGUGAACUAGCUCUGGCUCCAGUGACACUAGGUCUUGGUGCUUGUAGUCUUCAUAUCUUCCAAAUCUGGAUAUGUGCAAAAAGGGUCAGUCUUCUAAAUUCUUAGGUAAUCUCCCAGCCAAAUGUGAAAUGAGCGCCUACCAGCCAGUAUAGAAGAAGACUGGCAAAGGCAACUGGGUGAUGCCUCCUUCAGCACUGUUCCUUCUCUGCCCUGCUAAUAUACCCUAUGGCCCUGAGAAGCCCUAUCACACAUAGUCUGUCCCUAAGAAACAGUUCCAGAAGGUAGAGAGGGAAAGAGGAAGGUAGCCCAGAGUAUAACCAACUCAUUCUUUUAUGUUAGUUAAAGGGAUAGUUUAUUUUCUGCAGAAGAGAGAUUGGCAGAUUUUGAAAAUGAAUAAAGGCAGAAAAAAAAAAACCCUGCUCUUUUAGCCUUUAAAAAAAGUUUACUUUUCUGUGGGUUUUUUUGCUUAUAGGAGUUUCACAGAGUCAAAGAAGAGUUAGAAAAUCACUCUUUAGGAGGGCUAAUCCUUCAAGGACUACAGCAUGAUUUGGGGGUUGUGGGGAAAAGGAAGAGUGACUGAGCUGAGGAAGAUACUAGAAAAUUAAAGGCUUAACUCAGAACUAAAAAUAGCCUUUUUGUUGUUGUUAAUUAAAUGAGAUAUAACAUACUGGUAUCCUUGUAUCUCCGUGUACAGAACCUACUGUAUAAAGCAUCCCAUUGUCUCUUUUUCCUUGUCUCUACCCUUUCUUCUAUAUUCUGCUUUACCUUCGUUUGUAAAACUGACUUUACUAGAGUCUCAGGUCAAACAUUACCUAAAACAAAUGUUAGUCAUUUUGCUGAUAAUGGUCAUGGUUAUUAGCUUGCAUGAAGCUUAGAGUUGAAUGGGAUUGGGUCACUCUGUAACACCCACUAUGGGCAUACCUGGCCUUGAGUGUUGGCUUUUUUUUUUUUUUUUUAACAAUGCUUAUAUGGUAGAGAAACCCUGUAAAAGAAGAAUCCAAGAAGAGAUUCUGAGAGAAUCAUACAAACCCAGGCCUCCCUACAAUUAUUUCUUGUCUCUUGUAUACCUAGUGGAUCUGAGAUAAAACCUUUGCAAAGUGUCAGUACUCUGUGUAUGCUGCUAAAAUGAAGUUAAGUUGGAAUGAAGUGUUACCUCCAGACUGUGCUUAUAUUAAUCUGGGUAUAAAUGAAGGAGACAUACUAAUGAUAGAAAUCUCUGCUUCUAACUGGGGAAAUAGGGCUUUUAAAAUUUUGACCUCAUAUGCAAUGAUAUGCAAUAGUCUAUGUUGUAUGUGUUUGCAAAAUAUUCUCAGAGAUUUCUAAGUCCUCGUGUUCUAGUGAUUCGGGGCAUAGGCUUAUGAGCAGAUAGCACAGUUUGUUCGCACAUUAUUUGGGCUCAUCCUUACAGCCAAGUCCUUGUGGUCUUCUAUCAGGGACUGCUAGCUCCAUGGGAUAGAGCACCUGGGAGUGGUAGGGGUUACGGAGACUCUAGAUCUAGGCAUUUGUUUCUCCAUAAGCACCCAUCAUAGUGGAAGGUUGAGGGGCUCUUGUUUCUGCAGUGAACCCAAAUUUUUGGAGUAAAAGGGCCAAAUCUAUUUUUUAAAACUAUAAGAAGAAGGAAAAGAGAGACAGAAAUCUCAAGAGUCUGUUACUUAAGAAAUCCAAUUCUUAGCAAUGGAAUCCCUAUAGGAUUCAAAUGUGGACUUUGUCUUGAUUUGCUUUUCUCUAUUGUGCUUUGAAGUGAUUUGUUUCAUUAAAAAUGAAGUCUUUUAUUAGUUCCAACACUAGUUGGAGUUGAAUUAAUCGUGUGUAGCACAGUGCUUUUGCAGUAAGAUUGCUGUGAAAUGCCAAACACUGUGGAUUUUGUAGUCAGGUUAAAUGGUCGAAGGAUACCUACCUACCAUAAGUAUUAUAUUAUGUAUUUGAUCAGAUCAUCUUCUUUUCUGUUCCUAUUCACUGAACAUUUACCUUACCUAGGUUACAGUUUUAGAACAGCCAAAGUUCACUGAUGUCAGUUAGUCCUAAUCUCCACACUGGGCCCCAUAUGUGAGACUUGUUUGAAUUUUGGUAGAUUGGAGGAUGCUAGUUAUUAUUUCACUGAAGCAUUUUGGAUGAGUGCAGCUCUCAUAAAAGGGGAAUAAGACUAUAAUUUGGAAGAGAAUUAAAUACGUGAAUCCUCCUUUAAAUGGUGCUUUUUGUAACCUUUAAGUGCUGAGGUACAGAGCUGCUUCUCAGUAUUCCACAAAGGAUUGGCAUACAAGAAUGGAUUUUAAAGCUUUUCCCCAAAUGUAAUUUGUUACUGGACUAUGUGAUGUAACACAUACAGAAAUGUGAGGUUUUUUCCCAUAAAACUGUUGAAUAAAGUAUUAUACAGCAAUAAUA